UCGAAGAAAAGGAAAAAUGCGCGUUCUAACAAGGCAGAGAACGAGCUAGCGAUAGGAGGGGAGAUUAUCGAGCUCGUACAGAAAAGAUACGCUAAAAAGAUAUAUCGUUAUAUUUAUCUGAAAUUAAAUAGUAUUACAGCGGAUACUUACCAAUCAAUGGAAAAAUACUAGGUUGAUCGAGCAGCGACUUAAGACUGUUUUCAACAAGAGUGGGAGAGGAACGAUCCUUGUCACUCAUUUCACGCACUGCGCCACGAAGCCGCACGUUCUGAGGGUUACACACGCACACCACAAUCCGUUCAGUACACGGAACACCGCACGAAAGAACGAACGGCAGAUAUAGAUAGACUUUCUAUGUGUGUACACACGGGACUAUACAAACUGCAAGUGUGUACGUGUAGGAGAAACAGCACACACAGACACACGAACGUAACGGUGUGUAGUAAUAACAACGAGCACGCAGGCCAACGAGAAACGAAUGUGCCUCCCGUGGGACACGAUUAAACGACGUUCUUCCAGACCGGCAGAGAGAAAAGGCGCCCGCACCCGAACCUCUCACCUCGUCACGAUGUUUCUACUAUCACCCGAGACGGUCGCGGCCCGUUCGAACACUCUGGCCACGUUAAAAUAAACGCGGAGCGCUAUACCCAGUGCACGGUGCUCUUGAAAAUCAAUCUAAAAGUGGAUCGGCUGGUGGCGCAAUCUCCUGGCUAACCUCUGGACCGACUCGCGAACAAGUGAACGACGCCUGCCGUACUGAUAACGAAUAGUGUCUCUACUUUUGCCUUAUCGCGAUGCGCGCGCAUCCGUCCCCCGACCUCCCACACCGCCCAUCUACGAACGUUUCUUAGCCAUGAUCAGCAGUUUUCGUUUCGUUAAAUCUUUGCUCACGAUAUCUCUUUCCUUUUUCUUUAUUUCACGUUAUUUUUCCUCAUUUAAUGAUCAAGUGUUUUCCUCGCUUAAAUCUUUUUAAAUUUCUAGCCUGCGUUCGUUAAGUUCGGUGCUCUGUGUGCGUUUCGAAGUUAAAAGCGCUGACGUUCGCUACUUUCUACAAAUCAGGAGUGGAAGACCACCUACGAUGCCUAGCUUUUUCCAAUGGUACCGCCGGUAAACCCACCUCUUGAUGACAACCUCUUAUAGGAGAAAUUGACAGAACGUUAGGUAAACCAAUUUCUUGAAAAGAACUCAUAGAAGAAAAUCCACUUUCGUCCUCGACGCUGCUCACACUGGCAGUUGGCUUUGAUUUCGAAGAUUUAUCCUUUUUCUCCACUUUUCUAACACGUCUAUUUGGCGUAGAUGUCGGCGUACAUACGUAAAUAUGUUUGUGAUUCGAUAUGGAUACGUUGAAACAGUUAUUAUUUGGAAGUAGAUCCUCUUCUUCGGUAGUUUUGCUGCUUCCUGAGUUGAGUGAGGUGGUGUCAACGGAUCUUCUUAUAUCAGGAAGAAGAUCGUGGAAACCUUGACUGAUCUCAACAAUGUUUGACGAUGAUUUUACGAAACACCUACUGUCGUUAUCGGUACUACUUGAUUCGUUCCCAUGGUCAUAACUAGAACAUCUAUUGUACCCGAUAGCUUCCUGCAAGCACGUUGCAUUUACGUAACUACCAUCCUGCAAGGUCACUGAUACCUCGUUGUGAUGAUUAUUGUAACGAUGACGCUCUGUGGGCGAUGGGGAGGAUUCGUUAUUUUCUAUCGACGAGAUUCUGACCAGAUCCGGUUCUCUCAUUGAGAGCAACGACUGAACUGUUCUCAUUAAUCUGAAACAAUUAAUUUACAAUUAGUUAAAAAUAGUUUACUAUCUUCAAAUAUUUUAAAUAAAGAGAUAUUUAAAGUUACUUAUUAAUAACUAAACACUACAAAAUAAUUAUUUUAAUCACUUACGUAUCUGGUUACGUACCUAAAUGCUUCUUGGGAUAGUUUCUGGGGCGGUACAUCAUUCGGGUCCAACUUGGGUUGCGUAGGGGCUUUAUAAACAACAGCGUCAUGAGUUUUAUUGAGACUCUGAGAUUUAUUACGUGAAGAAUUGAGACCCUGAGAUUUAUUACGUGGAGAAGUAGAAUGCGCUGGAUCGUUUCUACGAAGCAUCGACCAAGUGAAUUCGCGGUAGUUGGUAGUGCACGGUGACAUCUGUGUGACCGAUUUCGACUUCGUGAAACGAGAGGAAGUCGAAGACGAUGGCGCUGAGGAAACAUGAUUCGACGAGGAAUCUGCGUGCUCAGUGUGAACGCUAUGGCUACGUGGAAACCGUCCCGUUGACUUCUUAUCCUUAGGAUUACUCUUCUCGUGAAGAAUAUCCAAGCUUUUGCGGGCUCGGUCCAGGAAGCGCAGCACUUGCUCCAUCAGGGCACGGUACUAAAGUAUUAAAAAUGGCAGUGGAAUAUUUUUCGGGGACAGACGGUGAAGUAUUCAAGGAAUGGGGAUAAGGUAAUCUGGUCGAGGACAUCAACAAUUUCCUCUUGUAAAUCAGGAAAACAUUGUCGACUACUUGUACGUGAGGUGUUUCAUUGGUCGCUAAAAUUUCUUGAAGUCUUCGGUUCUCUUCUAUCAAUGAUCGGUAUUGCUGAAACAAAAAACAGAAAUGACAAAAUCAGUUAACGAUAAUUAUUGGUGUUUUCUUCCUAAAUUCAAUUUCUUACUUUUAUCACACUUUAAGUUUAACGAGGAAAGUGUCCAGCUCUCGAACGACUUUCCUGAACGUAAUAAUCGUUUCAAAAGAAGAAAGAAGCGACAUGGUACGGCGUAUAUACACGCGUUAAUACAAGGUUUCACCUUGCGUAGGAGAUUUUCACACGGUGGAGUGAACACGAUUCGACGUUAGCAGAGCGUACGCCUGUUUAUUGUACAGACAUUGCUUUACCAAUAGCGGUAUAUUUUAUUUAAAAUAAUAUAUUGCUCUAAUCACCGUUAAAAGUAAAAGAAACUUUAAAUAUUUGCGUCAUUAA